rnacentral:rRNA from 1 species
CUACGGGAGGCAGCAGUGGGGAAUAUUGGACAAUGGGGGAAACCCUGAUCCAGCAAUGCCGCGUGUGUGAAGAAGGCCUGCGGGUUGUAAAGCACUUUCGGUUGGGAGGACUGCUUCUAGCACUAAUAUUGUUGGAAGUUGAUGUUACCUUCAGAAGAAGCACCGGCUAACUCCGUGCCAGCAGCCGCGGUAAUAUGGAGGGUGCAAGCGUUAAUCGGAAUUACUGGGCGUAAAGCGCGCGUAGGCGGCUAGAUCAGUCGGGUGUGAAAGCCCCGGGCUUAACCUGGGAACUGCAUCCGAUACUGUCUAGCUUGAGUACAGGAGAGGAGAGUGGAAUUCCACAUGUAGCGGUGAAAUGCGUAGAUAUGUGGAGGAACACCAAUGGCGAAGGCAGCUCUCUGGCCUGAUACUGACGCUGAGGUGCGAAAGCGUGGGGAGCAAACAGGAUUAGAUACCCGAGUAGUC